GAUGAACGCUAGCGGCAGGCCUAAUACAUGCAAGUCGAACGGUGUAGCAAUACACAGUGGCGCACGGGUGCGUAACACGUAUGCAACCUACCUAUCAUUGGGGGAUAGCCUUUGGAAACGGAGAUUAAUACCGCAUAAGACAGUAACAUGGCAUCAUGUAGCUGUUAAAGCUUCGGCGAUGAUAGAUGGGCAUGCGUCCAAUUAGUUAGUUGGUGAGGUAAUGGCUCACCAAGACGAUGAUUGGUAGGGGAUCUGAGAGGAUAAUCCCCCACACUGGCACUGAGAUACGGGCCAGACUCCUACGGGAGGCAGCAGUAGGGAAUAUUGGGCAAUGGACGGAAGUCUAACCCAGCCAUGCCGCGUGCAGGAUGAAGGCGUUAUGCGUUGUAAACUGCUUUUUUAUAGGAAGAAGAAGCCCUUGCGAGGGAAAGUGACGGUACUAUAAGAAUAAGCACCGGCCAACUCCGUGCCAGCCGCCGCAGUAAUAC
rnacentral:rRNA from 1 species